GAGGAAGGGGAGGCGGGGGAGGCGGGGGAGAAUGCCCGGAGCUGCCGCCGCCGCCGCCGCCGCCGCCGCCGCGAUGCUCCCGGCUCAGGAGGCAGCCAAGCUGUACCACACCAACUAUGUGCGGAACUCGCGGGCCAUCGGCGUGCUGUGGGCCAUCUUCACCAUCUGCUUUGCCAUCGUCAACGUGGUGUGCUUCAUCCAGCCCUACUGGAUCGGCGACGGCGUGGACACGCCGCAAGCCGGCUAUUUCGGGCUCUUCCACUACUGCAUCGGCAACGGCUUCUCCCGGGAGCUGACCUGCAGGGGCAGCUUCACGGACUUCUCCACGCUGCCCUCGGGCGCCUUCAAAGCUGCCUCCUUCUUCAUCGGCCUCUCCAUGAUGCUCAUCAUCGCCUGCAUCGUGUGCUUCACCCUCUUCUUCUUCUGCAACACGGCCACCGUGUACAAGAUCUGUGCCUGGAUGCAGCUCACCUCCGCUGCCUGCCUCGUGCUUGGCUGUAUGAUUUUCCCUGAUGGCUGGGAUUCAGAUGAAGUAAAACGGAUGUGUGGAGAAAAGACGGACAAGUACACCCUUGGGGCAUGUUCGGUCCGCUGGGCAUACAUUCUGGCUAUUAUUGGAAUCUUGGAUGCCCUCAUCCUCUCGUUUCUAGCAUUUGUGCUUGGGAACCGACAAGACAGCUUGAUGGCAGAGGAACUGAAGGCAGAAAACAAAGACGACGGAAACGCUUAAGGCAAGCCAAGUUCUGCUAAGCCAAUAUUCUCUAGAAUGAGCACAAAACAAAUCAAAUAACAGCUAAACCAACCGAACAACAGCUUUUGUACAUCAACAUCAAGAAGGAAGACGCUUGGGAGAGAUGAGAGCUCAGAGACGAAAUGUAGACAAGCCCGACACACCCCUUUGUCAAAGCACCCUCCAAACCUAGAGCAGCAGAGAUGGGAAGGACUUUUCUGGAAAGAUGCAAUCGUGGAUUACACACCAGCUCAUCGGAACUCACUGAAUAAGAUCAGAUAACAUUCACGAAAAAAAAUCAUAUUCAGGAAAUACUUUAAGGAAGCAGGAUAUAUGUGUACCAGAAUUAACAUGUAAAACUAUAUACACAUACCGAGGUUUGUAAACUGUCCUUUUUUUAAUCAAACUGAAAACAAAAACAAACAAACAAACAAAAAGCUUUAACCUUUUGACACUAUUUUCAAAAAGACAGUUAGGUCUAAAUUAUCCCUAUCUUAACAGCUAAGAGACUGGCCGAGUGUCACUUGUUGAGAAAGCAUCUUAGAGAACGCCUCUGACCUUCGGUUCUGCAGCUCCACUCUUCUUUCUUUCACUGUGUGAUUACUUUCAACCACUCAGUUAUGAAGAGACGUAACACUCAAACUUUGUACCCAGUCUGUGUUCACUUUAAUCUGUCCAUGCAAGUGAUGACUGAGAAAGUGUUUCUGACAUAUACUCUUACUCCACCAAGCUGUAUACCGCGCAAGGUACAUCUUUACAUCCUAGGUUGCCAAGCAACAGAGAUUUCCCUGUCUUUCAGAAAACACCACCGAGGACCUCUGAAAAAUAGAAAAAGCUCAUUUUCACCUUGGAUGCUCACAUGUAAUAUAUAGGCUGCUAUCCAAUAAAUACUUUUUUCUAAUUCUCCCUAGUAUGUGCAUAGGGGUUUAAUAUACUUUAUAAGUAGAUAUCUAAAAUAUCUCUUUUUUUAUUUCUUUGCCAUAGAUGUCAUCGGAAAUCCAUACUCUUUAUUUCCCCUAUUGACAGGUACUCAUUUUUUAAUCAUUCCUCAGUCCAUUAAACCUACUUCUAAAUCAUAGUAAGUAAUACUAACAAAACAAAUAACAAUCUAAUAGCCUUAGAAAUAAAUGACUAUAUACAUAUACAGGUCAAAGAAACUUGGUAGGAAUAAGAGACCUUUUUGUUGACUAAUGUUGGUUUUGAGAAUUCUCUGAUUGUUUUUCAUUGGCUAGCAUUUGGAAGCACUUAAAACUAAAGGAGUUGUCUUCAACAGUCUUUGCUUCCCAAGCAUUGCCCACCAACGCCAUCACCACAUACCCUGCCAACAUCCAAAACACAGGAGUAUUUAAUACUGAAAGAUCCAACUGCCUGAUGAAUACAAGCUACAGUGCACAUGUAGGGAUAGUUGGUGGAAGCCAAACCAUGUUCUAUACCUGAGCAGAAAAUGUAGACACAUGGAAUGCCUUCACAUGUAGACGCAAAAGUAAGAUCAAGUUAGCAUACAUUACUAGCACAUCCGACAAAGAACUGAUGUGCACCGAGGCUGACUCCUUUCACCCUAUAUUAGGACCAUGCCUGUUUUGGUCACAUGAUUCUGGUAUAGCCUUCUUUUCACCGUCAAUGAGACAAUGUGUCAAAUGACUCAAAGCAUAUACCCAGUAUGGGCAAGUGAGUAAACUCACUUCGCAGAGAUGUGACUUUUCUAAAGAACCGAGUAAGGGAAGAUGUGGCAUUGUGACUAAAGGAUUGGCUGUUCCGGGGGUGAUUUGUUGCGUGGAGUAUCAGCUCUUCUACUGCAUCCAGAACAUCCUACUUACUAAAUUCAAUUACACACAACUUUUCAAGAAUUCAUCUUUAUUUAAAGGGAGAUACCUCUCUACUUUCUACUGUACCUACAGUCAGCACAGAAGGUAUUGGCUUUCUUUAACCCAUGUAAAUUACAGCUUCCAUUGGGAGGCCUACAUCACUAGUAGUGGUAUUAACAAAAAUGACAAAGUAUUUUACACCUACAUACAAAGGUUCCUUAAAGGUUUUGCCAUAGAACUUAAGUGUAAUUUAGCAUACCACAGUGCUGUGAAGAUGGGUCAUUGAUGAUGUGCCAUUUGUACAUAGGUAAUAGUCGUGUCAAUCACUAAAUGUUAAUUAAGUAUAACAAGUCUGUUUUUAUCUUUUUAAAAAAAAAACAAGAAGUGACUCCCCUCCUCAUUCUGUUCUGUUGUAUUGCGUCCAAAAGUUGUGUGUAAUUUUUUUAAGGUCCAGGAAAUGUAAAGAAAUUUGUUGGAAUAUCUGAAUUUCUGUAAAAAAAUAAAAAUAAGAUUUUGGUACUUAAAA